rnacentral:rRNA from 1 species
CCCUUAGAUGUUCUGGGCCGCACGCGCGCUACACUGACGAAUGCAACGAGCUUAUAACCUUGGCCGAAAGGUCUGGGUAAUCUCCAAAUUUCGUCGUGAUGGGGAUAGAUUAUUGCAAUUAUUAAUCUUCAACGAGGAAUGCCUAGUAAGCGCAAGUCAUCAGCUUGCGUUGAUUACGUCCCUGCCCUUUGUACACACCGCCCGUCGCUCCAACCGAUUGAAUGGUCCGGUGAAGCGUUCGGACCGUGGCCUUUGGACGGUUCGCCGUCUGUUGGCUGCGGGAAGUUCGUUAAACCUUAUCAUUUAGAGGAAGGAGAAGUCGUAACA